rnacentral:snRNA from 1 species
UUGUAAGUACACCCCAGACGACCAAGGUUCGAGUCAUACUAACUCGUUGUUUAGAG